ensembl:lncRNA
AUCAGUGGCAGCGGGACAUCCGUUUACAAAAUAGUAAACGUGACAUUUUUAGUUAAUUUUAAUGGUAAUACUUCAUAGGUGGGACCUUUUUCGUAUGUCACAUAGGCACCAAAAUGGUAAAGAAACGCUCAUACGUGAGUUGGCAUCUAAACCGAUGGCUUCAGAGCUGGUUGUAUUCUCCCUUGGGUUAAUGGCGUUAUUCCUCACCUCCUUCCAGAUGACUGGACGCUGGAACAGAACAAAAGGGGCAAAAUGCCCCAAGAAGAGUGUUGACCCAUAUUAUAAACAGGCAUGGCAAUUUUCCGCCGUUCCGCGGAAAUCCGCCGUUUUAAUUUUCAAAUUGAUCAUUUCUGUGAAUCGUCCAAAUCCGUUGAGAAAAUUUUAGGGGAGGUGAGGUAUGUUUUUGUUACUCUUGCUCCCGGUUUUUGAGAAGCGCUCGGCGUUUCUCCCGCAGCGUAACAGACAAAAGCCGCGAUUCCACAAGCAUCUACUCGGCGCAGUACGGUUCGCCACUAUUGUAUCUGACUCGGCUCGUCUCGGUUUAGUUGUUUUUCCAUAUAGCCUCAUCGUGGGUGGAGUCGUCAUAGCGCAGCGAGCCGAAAGUCCCUUAACGUCAUUUGCGUGCGACACAAACGCAACAUAACGGAGACGAUGGUUCACCUGCUGCUCGGUCUGUGGCUUUCUGUCAGAUUCAAAGUAAUAGAAGAGUCGGAGAAAGCUGAGAGCGGCGAGUCGUAACACUCAGGAGACACACAGGAGAGUUUGGGAGGCGAUGCAGCAGCAUCAAGCUGAAGACAAGAGGAUAUGAACUAGACGACAUAUGAGGAUGCUCUCUGAUGAGACUUCAUGGGAUUUACCUGAAGCAGCAGCACAUGAGCCUGCAGUGGCACAAGGUGUAGAGGAGGAGGACAGAGAUGUACAGGAUGCACUGAUGCACUAUGUGUCAUGCAGAAGUUGUUAUUCUUCUCGUUAUACUUCUGUUUUUCUGUCCCCGGACCACUAUUGUUUUCUUUAAUGCAAUUCUGACAAUAAACUUUUGUACCUUUUGCAGAUGUGUCUGUGCUAUUGUUUUAUUUGUGAAGGUUAGCAAGAUUACAUGACAAAUUAAACACCAAAACAUUAAAACAGCUGUUUUAAGAAUAUUCCAGU